rnacentral:rRNA from 1 species
CACGUAGGGACCAAGCGUUGUCCGGAUUUAUUGGGCGUAAAGAGCUCGUAGGCGGUUUGGUAAGUCGGGUGUGAAAACUCAGGGCUUAACCCUGAGACGCCACCCGAUACUGCCAUGACUUGAGUCCGGUAGGGGAGUGGGGAAUUCCUGGUGUAGCGGUGAAAUGCGCAGAUAUCAGGAGGAACACCGGUGGCGAAGGCGCCGCUCUGGGCCGGUACUGACGCUGAGGAGCGAAAGCGUGGGGAGCGAACAGG